AUGGUAGUGAAAAUUAGGUUUAGAGGAUAAGAUAGAGGGAUAAGUCUUUAGUCAUAAAAGGAAAGAAAAGAAAAAGAGGUUAGAACGAGAAAAUAAGAGAAAGAAGGGUUUUGGUGAGUUUUGAAGAAAAACCAAGAGAGGAAGAACAAGCUUAGGGAUUGAAGAAGAAGACUAAAGAAUCCAUCCUAGCUAAGUAUAGUUGAUGGCAGAAAAGAAUGAUGGUGCAAAGAACCUUGGAGCAAUAACAAAAAGUAUAGUUGGUGGCAAGAAAGAAUGAUGGUGCAAAGAACCUUGGAGCAAUAACAAAAAGUAUAGUUGGUGGCAAGAAAGAAUGAUGGUGCAAAGAACCUUGGAGCAAUAACAAAAAGUAUAGUUGGUGGCAAGAAAGAAUGAUGGUGCAAAGAACUUUGGAGCAAUAACAAAAAGUAUAGUUGAUGGCAGGAAAUAAUGAUUGUGCAAAGAACCUUGGAGCAAUAACAAAAAGUUCUUUUAUCAUAAGAAGAAAGACUUUACUUGUUGAUCCUUGAAAGCGGUAGGGAGAUGCAACUUCUUCGGCAUAAAAGCAAAAGAAAAGAUCAACACUAUAAAAGAAUUCAAGGAUGCACCGGUUCAAGACUAACUUGCACCAGUUCAUCAGUGCUCCUGGACUGCAUAGGGGUCAAAGUUGGGUUUCAUGCUCCGGUUCAAAGUUGGCUUGCACCGGUGCAAACUUACCAAUUGCACAGGCUCAAACUCUCCUUGCACCGAUUCAUGAAUCAUGGGAAAAUGUGGUAAACCUGCAGAAUCACAAUUCUAAACAGUCUCUAACUAUUUCUAACAUUCUAAUCAUGAUGGAUACAACUAAUUACAGUCACAUGCAAUGGGAAUUAAGUCCAAGUUCAUCAUUAAUCAAUUUAUGAGUUGUCUAGGUUACUAAUCAUGCCAUAAACAUAAAUAAUGAAAUAAAACACUAUGCUUUGGACUUAUGGUUGCCAUGUUUCUACUUAAAGAAACCCACCUGAAA